GACGAACCGUGCAAACGUUGUUCGGAAUCACUGGGCUUAAAGGGCGCGUAGGCGGCUUGCAUAGUCGGUGGUGAAAUCCUGCAGCUUAACUGUAGAAGUGCCUCCGAUACUAGCAGGCUCGAGGGAGGUAGGGGUCUGCGGAACUUCUGGUGGAGCGGUGAAAUGCGUUGAUAUCAGAAGGAACGCCGGUGGCGAAAGCGGCGGACUGGACCUCUUCUGACGCUGAUGCGCGAAAGCCAGGGGAGCAAACGGG
rnacentral:rRNA from 1 species